rnacentral:rRNA from 1 species
CCUACGGGUGGCAGCAGUGGGGAAUAUUGCACAAUGGGGGAAACCCUGAUGCAGCGACGCCGCGUGAGUGAAGAAGUAAUUCGGUAUGUAAAGCUCUAUUAGCAGGGAAGAAAAUGACGGUACCUGAGUAAGAAGCCCCGGCUAACUACGAGCCAGCAGCCGCGGUCAUACGUAGGGGGCAAGCGUUAUCCGGAUUUAAUGGGUGUAAAGGGAGCGUAGACGGCAGUGCAAGUCUGGUGUGAAAGACGGGGGCUCAACCCCCGGACUGCUCUGGAAACUGUUGGGCUGGAGUGCAGGAGAGGUAAGUGGAAUUCCUAGUGUAGCGGUGAAAUGCGUAGAUAUUAGGAGGAACACCAGUGGCGAAGGCGGCUUACUGGCCUGUAACUGACGCUGAAGCUCGAAAGCGUGGGGAGCGAACAGGAUUAGAUACCCCUGUAGUC